rnacentral:lncRNA from 1 species
GAUGGUAAGCGGUGCUGAAGUACAACCCAAACCCCAAGGCUUCUUGAAAGUUAUCCCAGAAGUGAGGGGUGAAACGAGGGUUGCGGUUGGAUACAAUGGACGAGGGAACUCUAUGGGGUCGAACAAUCUCAUCCACAUAUAGGCGGGCUAACUUACUGGUGGAGUCCUUAGUUCAAAUAGGCAAGAAAUGGACAAUCUUGGUCAGCUUAUCUAUAAUGACCCAAAUGACAUUUUGAUCGGAACAGGUCCUGGGCAAUCCGGUGACAAAAUUCAUAGUUACGUGCUCCUAUUUUCAUUUAGGAAUUGGAAGACACUAUAGCAAGCCACUGGGUCUCUAAUGUUCUGCAUUUAUCCAUUGAUAAGUAGGGCAUCAAGAGACGUAAUCAACUAUAUCCUUCUUCAUUCCUGGCCACCAAUAUUGUCGUUUCAAGUCCCAGUACAUCUUGAUACUUCUAGGAUGGAUGGAUAAUUUGGAAGCAUGGGCAGUCUUAAGUACAUUUGUGCAUACUGCAUUAGGCACCCAAAUUCGGUUCUAGAAUCUGAACAACUCAUCAUCAGAGAUCCUAAAAUCAGGAGAUUCAUUCGAAGUAAACUUACCUAGGCUCUUGAUGAGUUUCGGAUCCGUGGCAUGUGUUUCCCAGAUCUUCAUGAAGAGACUCGGAUCUGGGCUCGGUAAUAGCUAAGGCGGAGUGAUUGCACGGUGUCCAUCAUCUUUUAACUUAAGACCAUGUUUUGGGCUAGCACAGCAGGCUCUCGUAGACCUAGAGCAUCGGCGAUUAUAUUCCUUCUCUUGAGGUAAAAAAUGAUCUGACAAUCAUAAUCCUUCAAAAGAUCCAUCCAACAUUUUUGCCUCAUGUUUAACUCCUGUUGUAAAAAGAUAUAUUUGAGACUCUUAUGGUCAAUGUAGAUUUCAAAAAUUUUGGCCAUACAGGUAAUACCGCCAUAACUUCAGAGUAAAGAUAAUGAUUGUCAACUCCAGGUCAUGGAUAAGGUAAUUCUGCUCAUGGAAUUUGAGCUGUUGAGAUUUAAAGGCGACUACUCUACCAUGUUGCAUCAAGAUACACUCCAAACCAAUAUGAGAUGCAUCACAGUAAACUUAGAAUCUUCCCUUAUUAGUUGGGAGGAUCAACAUAGAGGUAGAGGUGAGACGGCAUUUUAGCUCCAUAAAACUUUCACUACAUGCAUAAUUCCAAACAAAGGGUACACUCUUUCUGGUGAGCCAAGUCAUAGGGGCAGUAAUCUUGGCAAAUCCGUCAAUGAAUCGUCGGCAGUAGCCUGCUAAGCCAAGAAAACUACAUACCUCGACCACAUUGGUGGGCGGACUCUAGUUGGUCACUGAUUCCACUUUAGACAAGUCUACAGAUACUCAUUCACUUGAGAUUACAUGAUUGAGAAAAGAAACUUGAUCCAACCAAAAGGAGUACUUAAUUUAACAUAUAGUUAGUUUUGGCGGAGGGCCUUCAGCACUUCAGCCAAAUGCACAAUAUCUUCCCCAUGGCUUUUGGAAUACACAAGAAUGUCAUCAAUAAAUACGAUGACGUCUUGAUCUAGUGCGUGCUGGAAAACUCGAUUCAUUAGGUCCAUGAAAGUUGUUGGAGUAUUGGUCAAUUUGAAUGACAUCACCUUGAACUCGUACAAUCUGUAUCUACACCAAAAGGCAAUUUUUAGAAUAUCUUCUUCCUUCACUCUCAACUGGUGGUACUCGGUUCUGAGAUCGAUCUUAGAGAAGACAGUGGCUCCUUGUAGUUGAUCAAAGAGAUUGUCGAUCUGGGGUAAAGGGUACUUACUUUUAACAGUCACUCGAUUGGGUUCUCUAUAGUCCAUGCAGAGUUGGAGCGGACCAUCUUUUUUCCUUAGUAAUAACACCGGAGCACCCCAAGGAGAAUAGCUAAGGCGAAUGACUUUCCAGAUGAUAAGAUUAGAAAGUUGAUGUUUCAUCUCUAUUAGCUCACUGUGACUCAUGCGAUACGCAAGCUUUGAGAUCGGUUGGGUUCCAGACAAUAAUUCAAUCAGGAACUCUACCUUACGUGGUGAUGGAAACAAGGCUAAAAAUGCUCAAAAUACUCAAAGAGCAUCAAAAGGUGACUUGGAGCAAAUUUCAAAUGACGUAAACACAAAUAGAGUUCCAAACCUGAAAAGUUUCAGCAGACUAGUAACAAGAUCAAAGGUAAAGAAGCUUAAAGAGUUGCUCCAAGUUUUUACUCAAAAAUAUGUGGAUGAUGGGCUGGCCAAUUGUGGAAAGUUCAAAUAUGAGCUUUUUGAACAACCAAAAUUCGUAACUUUAAUUGAGUUUAAAUUAUUUGGGAUAAUUUGGGCUAGAUUAGUUGAGUUAUUUUAAGUAUUUUGGAUUGUUUUAUUUUAGUUUGAGUUAAUUAAGCCCAUAUAGUCAAGUGUAACUCAUUUGAGCUUAAGUCCUGUCUUAGUGUUAUUACGAGAAUGAGCUCAUAACUAUAUGGUGCCAUAAAUAAUUAGUGGUGUUGGUUAAGAAGAUUGGAGUUACAAAGAGUCACAUAACAAUUACAUGCCUAUAAUUAGCCAAGUUAUUGUUGGAGUUACAAUUGUAAUUAUCAUAUAAUUAGCCUAGUUAUUGUGGGAGUUACAAUUGUAGUUAUUGUGUUGUAACUUAUCAUUGAUUUCUUUGGUUAUAAAUACCAAAGGAACUCUUUUUUGUGGACGUAAAGAGUGGUAAUCAAAUAUUUCAUAAUUGAGUUAAGAGUGUUUUGGCUUGCUUUUCACUUUAUGCACAAGGUGCUGAUUUAGAAUAAAAUGGUUAUCACUUGUAUUCAAUUUUGAUUUCCUAUUUCAAUUGUUCUUUGUGCUUGUUUGGAUAGGGUUCAAGGAAUAUCAUUUAUCUUUCUUGGGUUCUAUUUAAUUUCUACCAUUUGGGUGAUUGAAAAAAUUUGCUUCCUUUUUACUUGAUAUCUAAAUUCUGUUCUACACUAAUUAAAGAGUUCUAAGGUUCAAGUAAGGGUCUUGGGGUUNNNNNNNNNNNNNNNNNNNNNNNNNNNNNNNNNNNNNNNNNNNNNNNNNNNNNNNNNNNNNNNNNNNNNNNNNNNNNNNNNNNNNNNNNNNNNNNNNNNNNNNNNNNNNNNNNNNNNNNNNNNNNNNNNNNNNNNNNNNNNNNNNNNNNNNNNNNNNNNNNNNNNNNNNNNNNNNNNNNNNNNNNNNNNNNNNNNNNNNNNNNUUAGAUUCACCAUUUUUUUUCUUGCAUCUUUAGUUUUCAUUUAAUAUUUCUGCCAAUUUGCUUCUUAUUAUAUCUUGAGGUAAUAAUAUUGAUUUGUUGUUGCCUAAUUAAUAUAAAAAUCAUCAUACACUUAUUUCUAUAUCAAGUGUGUGCUCUUCAUUGUUUAGAUUUCUCGAGUAGAAUUCGUGUAUCUUGUUUCUUUAGGAAUUUUUUGUUAUCUCUAAUUAAAAUUGAGUACAUAGUGAUAAUUAAUGGUUGUUUGAAUUGGCCAUUUUGUAUAAAGUUAUAAAAGAUUGCUUGAGUGGUAAAAAGCAAGAGAGUGUGAGCUCAAAAAAUGGUAAAAGCCAAAAUUGAGUGAAACACGAGUGCCUAUACUACGAGAGUAAACACGUGAGGUUGUGCAAUCUAUUUUAUUUGUCAUUAAAAUUUCAUAUUUGAAGAUGGUGCCACAAGGGAGUGAAAGAACAUCAAAAGAUCAAGAAUUCAUUCUCAAAGCAAUGCAAUAACAAUUUGAGAGGAUUCAACUAGUUAUUGGCAACAUGAAUGAGAAACUAGAAAAACAACAAAGUGAGUUAAAUUCCUUGAGAGGGGAAGCUUCCCAAACCAAUCCAAGGGCAAGAAGACUUCCAACACCACCUUUUGAUGAGGAAGUGGAGGAAGAAUUUGAUGACCAAGCUACUUUGGUCAAUGAAGAUCGAAAUUAUAGUGGGGUCGAAACGAUCUUGAUAAAAACAUUGGGAGUAUCAAAAUGAAAAUCCCAUCGUUUCUAGGCUAGAAUGAUCCAAAUGCUUAUCUUGAACGGGAGUGCAAGGUGGAGUUUAUUUUCUAGUGCCACAAUUAUUCGGAGGAGAAAAAGAUAAAGCUUAUGGCCGUGGAGUUUGGAAAGUAUGCCAUUGUGUGGUGGGAUCAACUCAUUACAAGCAAAAAGAGAAAUGGAGAGAGACGUAUUUCUACUUCGCCCGAAAUGAAGGCUAUCAUGAGAAGGUGCUUUGUUCUUACUCACUACUAUAGGGACUUACAUCAAAAAUUACAAAGCCUUAUACAAAGGAACAAGAGUAUAGAAGACUACUACAGAGAGAUGGAGAUAGCCAUGAUAAGAGUUAAUAUUGAAGAGGAUAGGGAAGCUACUAUGGCAAGGUUUUUAAAUGGCCUUAACAAAGACAUAGGCAAUAUUGUAGAACUUCAACAUUAUGUGGAGAUUGAUGAUAUGGUGCACAUGACUAUAAAUAUUGAAAGAUAAUUAAAGCAAAAGGGGAACACAAGGCAAGCGCAACACUUAUUCGGCCUAAAAUUUCAAUUAGAGGCCUAAUUGGAGUGGAGAUAAUAAGGCUGUCCAAUUCGAAAGAGAUGACAAAACCAAGCCAAAAGAUGCUAAUGAUAAUGAAAACAAAGGUAUUUCUAACUCCCAAACUCCUAAGAAUAGGGAUAUCAAGUGUUUUAGAUGCUUGAAUUUUGGUCAUAUUGCAUUUCAAUGCCGAAAUAAAAGGGUAAUGGUGAUGCGUGGUGAUGGUGAUGAAACAAAUGAUGAGAGUGAUGUGGAGGAUGAAAUGCCUCCUUUGGAGCAUUGUAGUGUUGGGAAAACACCUAUGGAAGGUAGAUUGUUGGUUUCUAGGCGUCCUUUGAAUACGCAAGUAAGGAAUGAUGAUGAGGGGGUUAAGUUGCAAAGAGAUAACAUUUUUCAUUCUAGAUGUCUAGUGAAUGAAAAAUUGUGUAGCAUGAUUAUUGAUGGGGGUAGUUGUGUAAAUGUGGCUAGUACCUUGUUUAUUGAUAAAAUUGGGUUUGAAAACUACAAAAUAUCCUAAACCUUAUAAACUGAAAUGGCUUAACAAUAGUGGAGAGAUGGGAGUUAAUAAACAAGUGAAUGUGUCUUUUACUAUUGGGAAGUAUAGUGAUGAGGUGACCUGUGAUGUAGUUCCUAUGCAAGCUAGUCAUUUUUUAUUGGGUAGACCAUGGCAAUGGGAUAGGAGAGUUAUGCAUGAUGGGUAUCUCAAUAGGUACAUGGUAGAAAAAGAGGGCAAAAAUUAUACUCUUUUUCCUUUGACCCCUAAACAAGUUUUUGAAGACCAAAUGCAACUUGAGAAGUCCCAUGAUGAACUCGCACAAAGAGAGGUCGAGAGAAAAAGAAAAGAAAAAGAAAAAAAGAAAAAAAAAGAGUGAGAGAAAAUUAGAGUGGAAAAAUGAAGAUCAAAAGGAAAAAAAAAAGAGGUACAUUCGACCAUAUAAAAGAAUGAGGGAAAAAAAUGAGCUUUUAUGCUAAAAUGAGAGAUGUGAGAAAAAUUUUAUUUUCUAACAAGCCAAUGAUUGUACUCAUGUAUAAGAAAGCUUGUUUCUCAACUAAUGAACUUGACCCUUCUUUACCAAGUGUUGUGGUUGAAGUUUUGCAGGAAUUUAGCGAUGUCUUUCUCGAUGAUCUACCUCAAGGUUUACCACUUUAAGAGGGAUUAAGCAUCAAAUUGACUUCAUUCUCGGGGCUGCCAUACCAAAUAGACCAGCCUAUAGGAACAAUCUCGAGGAGACCAAAGAGCUUCAAAGGUAAGUGGAUGAGCUCUUACAAAAGGGGCACAUUCGAGAAAGUUUAAGCCCAUGCGCAAUGCCCGUCUUAUUAGUACCCAAAAAAGAUGGUAGUUGGCACAUGUGUGUUGAUUUUAGAGUCGUCAACAAAAUAACAGUGAAAUAUUGACACCCAAUACCUCAACUUGAUGAUAUGUUAGAUGAGUUGCAUGAUGCUUGUGUUUUUUCUAAAAUUGAUCUUAAAAGUAGUUAUCACCAAAUAAGAAUGAAACUAGGAGAUGAAUGGAAAACUGCUUUUAAAACAAAACAAGGGUUAUAUGAGUGGUUGGUUAUGCCAUUUGGCUUAACUAAUGUGCCAAGUACUUUCAUACAUUUAAUAAACCAUAUUUUACGUGAAUUUAUUGAAAAGUUUGUGCUUGUCUACUUUGAUAACAUUCUUGUUUAUAGCAAAUCUAUUGAUGAGCAUGACAUGCAUUUGAGGCUAGUGUUUAACACAUUGCACAAGUUUCAACUAUGUUAACAUGAAGAAAUAUAUAUUUUGCAUUGAUCACAUCAUUUUCUUAGAAUAUAUCGUGAGUGCAAAAGGAAUCGAGGUAGAUAGUGAAAAGAUAAAGGCUAUUCAAGAGUGGCCGACACCUAAAAGUGUAAGUGAGGUGCGUAGUUUUUAUGGUUUGACAAGUUUCUAUAGAAGAUUUGUAAAAGAUUUUAGCACCGUUGCUGCCCCUUUAACUGAAAUCAUGAAAAAAGAUAAGGAGUUUGUUUGGGGAAAAGAACAAGAACAUGCAUUUUCCUUAUUGAAAGAAAAAUUAUGUAAUGCACUUUAUUAAGAUUGCCUAAUUUUGAUUUAACUUUUGAAAUUGAAUGUGAUACCUCUGAGCUUGGGAUAGGUGCUGUUCUUAUGCAGGAUAAAAGACUCAUUACUUACUUCAGUGAGAAGCUCAAUGGUGCACAAUUAAAUUAUUUCACCUAUGACAAAGAGUUUUAUGCUUUGGUAAGAGCAUUAGAGACAUGUUAGCAUUAUUUAUUAUUAAAAGAAUUUGUGAUUCACACUGAUCAUGAAUCUUUGAGGCAUUUAAAAAGGCAAGGCAAGCUUAAUAAACCAUAGGUAAAAUAAUAGAAUUCAUAGAGUCCUUCCCAUAUGUGAUCCAAUAUAAGUAACGAAAAAAAAAUAUGGUAGCUGAUGCGCUUUUAAAAAGGUACAGUCUUAUCUCUACUCUUUCUAUAAAGUUGUUGGGAUUUCAGCAUUUCAAAGAAUUGUAUGUGCAUGAUAGUGAUUUUUUAAAUGUUUAUGUGGCUUGUGAACAUGUGGCAUUUAAAGAAUUUUAUAGGCAUGAUGGUUUUCUAUUUAAAAAGAAAAAAUUAUGUGUGCCAAAUAGUUCUAUUAGGGAGUUCCUUGUUCGUGAAGCACAUAGUGGUGGUUUAAUUGGACAUUUUGGGAUUGACAAAACUUUGAGCAUUUUACAUGAACAUUUUUAUGUUGAGAAAAUUUGUGCGCCGUACAUCUAAUGUAGGCAAGUUAAGUUUAGAGUUCAACCACAUGGAUUAUAUAUGCCAUUACCCAUUCCUACACAUCUUUUGGUUGAUAUUUUUAUGGACUUUUUAUUGGGUUUGCCUAGGACUAGAAAAGGUCGAGACUCAAUAUUUAUUUUUGUUGAUUGUUUUUCUAAGAUGGCACACUUUAUACCAUGUCACAAAACAAAUGAUACCACACAUAUAACGGAUUUGUUUUUUUGCGAAGUUGUUAGAAUGCAUGGCAUUCCUAAACCAUUGUGUCCGAUAGGGAUGUUAAGUUUUUAAGCCACUUUUGACGAGUUUUGUGGUCUAAAUUUGGGACCAAACUUUUAUUUUCUACUACUUCACAUCCACAAAUGGAUGAUCAAACUGAAGUAGUGAAUAAAACACUUGGUACAUUAUUACGUGCUUUAAUUGUAAGGAAUGUUAAAACUUGAGAAGAUAUGCUACCAGUUGUUGAAUUUGCUUAUAAUCGGAGUAUAUAUUCUUCUACUAGGUUUUCUCCUUUUGAAAUUGUGUAUGGUUUUAAUCCCUUAACUCCAAUUGAUUUGUUGCUUAUUCUNNNNNNNNNNNNNNNNNNNNNNNNNNNNNNNNNNNNNNNNNNNNNNNNNNNNNNNNNNNNNNNNNNNNNNNNNNNNNNNNNNNNNNNNNNNNNNNNNNNNNNNNNNNNNNNNNNNNNNNNNNNNNNNNNNNNNNNNNNNNNNNNNNNNNNNNNNNNNNNNNNNNNNNNNNNNNNNNNNNNNNNNNNNNNNNNNNNNNNNNNNNNNNNNNNNNNNNNNNNNNNNNNNNNNNNNNNNNNNNNNNNNNNNNNNNNNNAACAAAGCUAAAAACACUUAAGAUACUCAAGAGCAUAAAAGAUGACUCGGAGCAAAUUUCAAAUGACUUAAACAUAAAAUAGAGUCCAACCUAAAAAGUUUCAGCGGACCAGUAACAAGAUCAAAGGCAAAGAAGCUUAAAAAGUUACUCCAAGUUUUCACUCAAAAACAUGUGGAUGAUGAGCUGGCCAAUUAUGAAAAGUUUAAAUAUGAGCUUUUUGAAUAGCCCAAAUUCGUAACUUUACUUAGGUUUAAAUGAUUUGGGAUAAUUUGGGCUUAUUUGAGUCUUAUUAGUAAUUGGUGAAUAAGACUUAUGUAUGGGCUAGAUUAGUUAAGUUGUUUUAAGUAUUUUGGAUUAUUUUGUUUUAGUUUGAGUUAAUUAAGCCCAUAUAAUCAAGUGUAACUCAUUUAGGCUUAAGUCUUGUCUUAGUGUUAUUACAAGAAUGAGCCCAUAACUAUAUGGUGUCACAAACAAUUAGUGGUGUUAGUUUAGAAGAUUGGAGUUACAAAGAGUCAUAUAACAAUUACAUGUCUAUAAUUAGCCUAGUUGUUGUUGGACUUACAAUUGUAAUUAUCACAUAAUUAGUUUAGUUAUUGUGGGAGUUACAAUUGUAGCUAUUGUGUUGUAACUUAUCAUUGAUUUAUUUGGCUAUAAAUACUAAAAGAACUCUUCUUUGUGGAUAUAAAGAGUAGUAAUCAAAUAUUUCAGAAUUGAGUUAAGAGCGUUUUGGCUCUCUUUUCACUUUAUGCACAAAGUAUUGAUUUAGAAUACAAUUGUUAUCACUUGUAUUCAAUUUUGAUUUCCUAUUUCAAUUGUUCUUGGUGCUUGUUUGGAUUGGGUUCAAGGGAUAUCAUUUAUCUUUCUUGGGUUCUAUUUAACUUCUAUCAUUUGGGUGAUUGAACAAAUUUAUUUCUUUUUUACUUGAGAUCUAAAUUCUGUUCUAAACCGAUUGAAGAGUUUUAAGGUUCAAGCAAGGAUCUUGGAGUUCCGCAUCACGUGGGGGAGGUAGACCAGCGAGUUUGAUGGAACAGAUAUCAGGAAAAUUGCAAACAAUGGGUAUGGAACACACAGCAAGAUUAACGUCCAUAUUCCUGUUCAUUCAAUUGUUAAAAAAAUGAUAACAACUUUUAUUUCUUUUUCAGGGAUCAUAAAGUUACAAUUUUACUUUCAUAAUCUAUUAUAGCUCUAUAAUUUUUCAACAAAUCUAUUUCUAAUAUUAUAUCAAAUCCUACAAAAUCUAAUAGUAUCAAGUUUAUAUAUACUUAUAUCCCUGAAGUUUUUAUCUUACAAUGCUUAUAUCCGCAAUGAGCCUCUAGUAGUCCCUUAGAGGGAGUUUCCACUACUAGCAUUUUUCCUAAAGCAUUUGAUCUCAAUUCUAGGUUAUCAACAAAUGCACGGGAAAUAAAAGAAUAUCUUGAACCAGUAUCAAUCAAAGCUUUGGCUGGAACAUUAUGAAUAGAAAGUACACCCGAGAUGAGAACAGGAGCAGGAAGGACUUCUGUUUCAUCUAAAUGGUAUACUCGAUCUUGUGCUAUGGGUCGGGCUACAUCAUUCGGUCACUGAGGGCAGUCUUUUAUAAGGUGUUGGGUGCUUUCGCACCGAUAGCAGACAUGAUUGAUAUGUUGGCAUGGUAGGUCUCCAUGCGAGUGACCAAAAUGUUGACAAGGUUGGUUAGUUCGGGCAAGUGGGGCUGUAGAUGGGGGCAAGGCAGGAAGUAGGGCAAUUCUAGUUUGUUUGUAUGAGAUUUUACUUACUGGGUCAGAUAAUCUCUUUCUAAGCUUGGGACUAUUCUUGAGCUUGAACUAGAGCAAAACGUUGGUGUUUAGCCGAGAUAAGAUCUUCAGCCAACUGGGCAUGUUCAAGCACCUCUGCAUAUGAGUUGGGUCUCAGCAUCGCGACCCGGUUAUAAAUAUCGGCACGAAGGCCCUUGAGAAACUUCUUACUUUUUGACUUUCGGGGAUAAAGGGGCAAAUCUAAACAGUUGAAUAAAUCGGGUAGCAUAUUGGCCUACAGACAAGCUUCCUUGGUGGAGGUCUUGGAAUUCUUCCUCUUUUUUUCCCGAACAUAAGUAGGAAAAAAAUUAUCAAAGAAAGCAUCCAUGAAAACUUCCCAGGUAGUAGGGGUAAGCAGGACUUUUUCUUAUGUCUCCACCAGUAUUUGGCUUCACCGUUUAACAUAAAGGCUGCAAGAGGAACUUUUUGUUCUUUGGUCAGGUCUAGUACAGAGAAUAACUUUUCUAUUUGUAGGAUGCAUGCUUCGACUACUAAAGGAUCAGGGCCACCUUUAAAGUGUGAGGGGUUAAGUUUCUUAAACUCUGCUAUAUUAUGGGAGAUAGACCGAUCUGGGUUUUGAAACACAAGGCAGAGGGUGGAUAAAAGUUGGCCUGGUUUUGUCCCACGGCUGUAGUUAAUCCUUGAACAACUCGAAAAAGUUUUACAAAUUCAGUCAUGGUCAAAUAAUCCGGGGCUUCAGGUUGUUCAGUACGUUAUACAGAUGGUCUUCUAUGUGUCAUUCCCACAAAAGAAAGGAAGACACGAGUUGGAGGUUUAAUCUUUGAAAAUAGGAUAUUUAUCUUUCCUAGGUACUUUAGACGAUUUAUCUAUCCUAGGCCUCAGUGUAAGAGAUUUGUUCCGCGAUAUUCUGGCUCUGUACCACCUGUGACAUUUUAGGUGCAAACUAAGGCAAAUGGAUGUGAGAUAUAGAUUUAGAAUAAUGAGUGCAUGAUAAUAUUUAUAUAGCAGAAUCAGACCUUAAUAAAUUCCUUACAUAUAUAUAUAAUAUUCCAAAUACAUACAUCACUAACACCAGAAGUGGCAACAAAAUACAAAACAUAAGAGCCAUUUCUUUCACUAUGCUACUGGAAUUCAUCAGAGUGUGGUCUGUGGAUCCACGGGAUCCUCAUAGACUUCUAAGAGUAGGUUUACCUGCGGUUCCUUAUUUUAUUCCUCCUCUGAGGGGGGGAGGGGAGGGGAAAGAAAAGAGUGAGUUCCAUAUGCUCAGUACGAAAAAUAGUAUUAAAUUAACAUCGUAAGAUUUCGAAUGUUUGUUAUUUUAUCUUACCAUUUAGUUUCCUUAUUUACCUAAUUGAUUAUUAGAAAAAACCAUUUAUUUGAAUAUCAAAAUAGUACGUUAACACAGAAAAUCAAAUAUACAUAUAUCAUGCAAAAUAAUAGAGAAAAUCAAAUAAAUCAUGAAAUGCACAGAUUUUUCGUGUCAUGCUUCGUGAAGUUGUUACAAACUUUUAUCUUUGAGAGCAAAUACAGAUACAAAUUUCCAACUAACCCAGUGGAAUGACUAGAUCAGAUAUAGAUACGACAAUUUACUCAGAUCCACUUCCGACUAGCCAAACCAUGGUACGAUCUAUGACCACGGUCGUAUCAACUAUAGUGGUCUUAACAGAUAAUCUAUAGUCACGAUAUUACUUAACCACGGGUGACCCCUACAGAUAAUGCGAUACCACUCUUGUCAGAGGACACGCCAUCAUCCACUAAAAGCAGUCCUCUUACUUCUUUCAAGACUAGAUAGGGGAGGAAAAAACAGAUACCCCGAAGGGUAAGGAGAAUAGAUAUCCCUCAGAGAUAAAAAAGUUAACGAGACACUUGAUGCAAUAUGCAUGUCAAUAAAGAUACACUUCGGACCAUACAAGCUUCAUCCCACUUUUUUCGUUUUCUUUUUCUUUUAUUUUACUUUUAUUAUCACGAACUACAUAUUACAUUUAUUACAUACAAUUCAUCAAGUGUCAGUAAAUCACACAGCAUGCUUGAAAAGCAAAACAAUUCAACUCAUUGAUAAGAGCAUGCAAACAUGCAAAAUAAUUAUCAUAUUAAAUUUACUUAUCUAAAAAUACUCCUUAAGACGUCAAAUGUAAUACUUGAUUCUUUACCGAAAUCUCGAUGUUUUCGUCUUCACCAUUUUUUUCUUUCUUUCUCUUCUUCUCUCACUAAGUUACUAUCUCUCUUUAAACUUUUGAAAAAUGGAAGAAAUGGAAGAGUGGAGAGAAAGGGAAGGGGGAGGGCAAUUUAUAAUAUUUUAGAAUCGUUGAAUUCGUACAAAGUGGCGAAAUUCAGUGAAGAGAGAGGUGAAAAAAAUUUUGGCAUGAAAAACGAGGAAGGAAAUUUUCCUCCACUGACGGCGGUGGCGCACCGCCCAAGGCAGCGACGGAGCACUGCCCAAGGUGGAAGAGCCCGGCCAAUGCACUGCAGGCUAGCCUGCAGGCGUAGAGGCCUGCUACCUUGUGCAUAGGGCCUAGGUGCACUUGGCGCAGCGCACGCAGGCUUAUUGCGUGCAAGCAACAGGUGCAGAGGGCCUGUAUGCGUAGGUCUGCUACGUGGACGAUGCGCGCAUAGUAUGCGGCAUCAGUCCAUGCGCAAAGUGACGGGCGGACGGAUUGCUUGCGUGCGACAAGAUGCACGCCCAUGUCCUGACCCCGUGUCAUGCGUGCUGUGCAAACAACCCAUGCGUGCUGGCAUACGGAUGGGACGUGCACAUUGUGUGCAUUCUCUACAGCCGCUGUGCAUGCAUGUGCGCUCGCACAGUGCCCAGAACCCGCACGGGCAUCCGUUUUCUUGUGAGAUUUUUCCCAGGAGUAGGUUUUCUCCCGUUUUGCCGUUUUUUAAUUUUUUUUGUAAAUUUUUCUUUUGAUAUAAAAUAAAAUAAUAAUAAAAUUAAUAAAUAAAUAAAAAUUAAAAUAAAAUAUAUUAAAAUCACAGAUCUCGAGAACAUUAUAAAUUAAUUUAAAUUUAAGGCGGCUAAAUUCCCUAAUAAAUAGAGUUUUUAAAUUAUUUUAGUAUAGUGAUAGACGGGGUGUUACAAAGAGAUUAUUUGGUAUAGAGCAAUUUAUGAAAGUUAUAUAGGAAUACAAUUAGUAAGACUACCUACCUUUAAAAUAUCUUUGAAAAUCGACUUGACUAUCAAGGGGCUCAUUCAUAUUAUUAGAGGAUUCCUUUAUUCCACUAAAUUGAAAUAUAUAUUUCUUAAAAUUGUUUGAUUUAUUUAGUGAAAAUAUCAUUUAGAUAAAAGUCUAUUUCUUUAUAAUAUAUGUAAAUGUAUUCUUAUAUUAUUGCAUUUUCUUUUCUUAAUUUUAGAUUUCUUAAUUUUAGAUUUCUCAAUAUGUCUGUUAUAUCACUACGUGAUAUACUUGAUGCCAACAAGUUGGUUGGACCAAAUUUUGAUGAAUGGUACCGAAAUUUGAGAAUUGUUCUCAUGCAUGAAAAGCUUAUUGAUAUGAUCGAUAAGUCUAUUAAAGAGACCCCGCCUGAGAUGAUGUUGAGGUAGUUAAGGAUUUUCAAAAAUACUUGACAGAUUGUCUUACCGUUAAGUGCAUUAUUCUUUCUUCUAUGAGUUCUAAACUCGAGAGGAAACAUGAGGAUAUGGAUCCCAGUGCAAUCAUCGACCAUCUUAAGAAGAUGUAUGGUGCACAAAGUAGGACAACUAGGUACCAAUUAUCUAAGUCUUUGUUUGAAUCCAAGGUGAAAUACUUUCUCAAUAUUUGAUCUUGUAGUCACUACCUGAGUUUUUUCCCAAUUUAUUAUUAAUUUCAACAUGAAUAAAAUGGAUUGUGAUCUUUAUGAAAUGCUCAAUAUGUUGAUUGAUUACGGGAAUUAAAUUGCAUCUAAGAAAAAGAAAGGAACUGAUAUGUUAGUUAGCAACUCAUCUAAGAAGAAAUGUGAGGGUAAGAAAAAACACAAGAAGUCUGCUGCACCUAAGGGUGGUGUGACCAAACCUAAAGGUAAGGCAAAAACUGACCAAUCUGAUGCUAAAUAUUCCUUCUGCAAGAAGAAAGGGCAUUGGAAGAGAAACUGUAAGGAGUAUCUUGCAUCUCUGAAAGAUAAGAAACAAGGUAAGACCUUAAUGAAAAGUGUUUUCAUGAUUUCUUUAACUUCUAUUAAUCCGUAUAUAUGGUAUUAGAUACCAGUAGUCAUUUUAACAUUUUGAAUACGUUGUAGAAACUACAGAUUAACAGAAGAUUGAAGAAAUGAGAACUUAAUCUUCAAGUUGGGAAUGGUGCAAAAGUUACAACCCUAGUUGUAGGAUUAAUUUCUCUUAGGAUGCCUACGGGCAAAAUACUUUUGUUGGAAGAUUGUUAUUAUGUUCCUAAAUUUAUUUCAAACAUAAUAUCAAUAAUUUUUUUGGACCAACAUGGUUUUCGAAUUAUUUUGAAUAAUGGAGUUUGCUUUAUUUAUCAUGGUGAUGAUUUAUAUGCAAAUGGUUAUCUCCCUCAUGGUAUUUAUGUCUUACCUGAUAUGAAUGAAAACUUAGUUUUGCAUAUUUUUAGUCUUAAGAGAAAAAGAGAUUAUCAAGUAAAUUAUAUAUAUCUUUGGCAUUAUAAGCUUGGUCAUAUUGGAGAGAAAAGAAUAAGCAAGUUGUACAAGUAAAGUUACCUUAACAAAUAUGAUUAUGAAUCAUAUCCAACUUGUGAAUUUUGUCUCAAAGAAAAAUUGACCAAAUCUCCAUUUGUUGGAAGUGGAGAAAGAGCUUCUGAAUUAUUGGAACUAAUUCAUACUGAUGUUUGUGUUCCCAUGAAAACUCAAGUCAAAGGAUGAUAUUCUUACUUUAUCACCUUCACUGAUGAUAUGUCAAGAUAUGAAUUUGUGUAUCUUAUAAAAUAUAAAUCUGAGUCUUUUAAAAUGUUCAAAAGAUUCCAUAGUGAAGUUGAGAAACAGAUUAGCAAAAGCAUUAAAGUGCUAAAGUUUGAUAGAAAAGAAGAAUAUCUUAGUGAUGAUUUUACUGGAUAUCUCAAAGAAAAUGAGAUUCUCUCAUAAUGGACCCCUCCUAGAACACCACAACAUAAUGGUGUGUUCGAAAAAAGAAAUUGAACCUUAUUAGAUAUUGUGAUAUCAGUGAUGGGGUUUACAGAUCUUUCAAUUAAUUUAUGGGGAUAUGCUUUAGAAAUUAUAGCAUAUUUGUUAAAUAAAGUACCCACUAAGUCAGUCUCUACAACACUAUAUGAGAUAUAGAAAGGAUAUAAACUGAGCCUUAAGCACAUUAAAGUUUAGGGUUGUCCAGCUUAUGUUAAAAGAUUACAAACUGAUAAGUUUGACUCAAGAUUUGAUAAGUGAAGAUUCAUUAGGUAUCCUAAAUAAAUAAUAGAAUAUUAUUUCUAUCACUCAUCUGACCAUAAAGUGUUUGUGGCCAAGGGAGCAACCUUUUCGGAAAGGCAAUUUCUUUUUGAAGGAAAUUAUGGUGAAAGAAUUGAACUUGAUAAAGUUUAAGAAACUAAUGACUCAAUAAAAGAAGAGGAUCGUGAGAAAUAUGUUGAGCAACCUUUAUUAGAUAUUUUGAAGAUGAUAAGGAAGUUGUCAUCUCUAAUGGUUGAGGUUCAAGAAACAAGUAUUGUUCACGGACCAGUUAGUGAACCUGUUCAAAAUCAUAUUAAGUAGUGACCUAAUCUAGUACAANNNNNNNNNNNNNNNNNNNNNNNNNNNNNNNNNNNNNNNNNNNNNNNNNNNNNNNNNNNNNNNNNNNNNNNNNNNNNNNNNNNNNNNNNNNNNNNNNNNNNNNNNNNNNNNNNNNNNNNNNNNNNNNNNNNNNNNNNNNNNNNNNNNNNNNNNNNNNNNNNNNNNNNNNNNNNNNNNNNNNNNNNNNNNNNNNNNNNNNNNNNNNNNNNNNNNNNNNNNNNNNNNNNNNNNNNNNNNNNNNNNNNNNNNNNNNNNNNNNNNNNNNNNNNNNNNNNNNNNNNNNNNNNNNNNNNNNNNNNNNNNNNNNNNNNNNNNNNNNNNNNNNNNNNNNNNNNNNNNNNNNNNNNNNNNNNNNNNNNNNNNNNNNNNNNNNNNNNNNNNNNNNNNNNNNNNNNNNNNNNNNNNNNNNNNNNNNNNNNNNNNNNNNNNNNNNNNNNNNNNNNNNNNNNNNNNNNNNNNNNNNNNNNNNNNNNNNNNNNNNNNNNNNNNNNNNNNNNNNNNNNNNNNNNNNNNNNNNNNNNNNNNNNNNNNNNNNNNNNNNNNNNNNNNNNNNNNNNNNNNNNNNNNNNNNNNNNNNNNNNNNNNNNNNNNNNNNNNNNNNNNNNNNNNNNNNNNNNNNNNNNNNNNNNNNNNNNNNNNNNNNNNNNNNNNNNNNNNNNNNNNNNNNNNNNNNNNNNNNNNNNNNNNNNNNNNNNNNNNNNNNNNNNNNNNUGAGAGCUAUCAUAUAUAUCAUGACAUGUACACGUCUGAUGUGGCUUAUGCACUAGGAGUGACUAGCCGAUAUCAGACAAAUCCUAGUGAGGAAUAUUGAAAAGUGGUAAAGACUAGUCUUAAGUACUUGAGAAGAACUAAAGAUUAAUUCCUCAUUUAUGGAGAAUCUGAGUUAAAAGUAGAAGGUUAUAUUGAUGCAAGUUUUGCUUCAGACAAAGAUGAUAGCAAAUCUAUAUCUGGUUAUGUUUUCACUUUAAAUGGUGAUGCAGUGAGUUAGAAAAGUUCUAAACAAACUACGGUAGCUGAUUCAGUGACCGAAACAAAAUAUAUAGCAACAAGUUAAACUGCUAAGGAAGCUGUUUGGAUGAAGUUCUUAACUAAAUUUGGUGUGGUUCCUUCAAUAGAAGGUCCAGUUCCAUUAUUGUGUGACAAUAUUGGAGCGAUCAUUUAAGCAAAGGAGCUGAGAUCACAUCAAAAGUCCAACCACUUGAUUAGAGAAAUCAUUGAACGUAGAGACGUUAAAAUUCAAAAAGUUAAUGGAAAUGAUAAUGCAGAUGACCUGUUCACUAAGGCUCUUAGUGCAAAGGAGUUUGACCAACAUAACGGGAAGUUAGGAAUGAAGUACAUGAAAAAUUAGAUCUAGUGCAAGUGGGAGAUUGUUAGGGAUAUAAGUAUUAUGCUCACGAUCCAAUUAUUCGUAUAAUAUAUUAAAUACAUUAUUAUUUGACAAUUUAUUUUAAUAUAUGACAAUAGUAUUUUUAUUAUCUUAUCGUUUAAUUUUUGUAAUAAAGUUCUUGAUUAAUUUAUAAGUUUUACAUCAAAAUAGAGAUCUUGAUAAUGAGAGUAAAAUCUUCUAUGAUUUAAUUUAAAAUGUUAUUAGUCAUUAGAUCAUCAAAAUAUAAUACUAAUAAUCCGGUAAGACUAAUAUACAUGUAAUAGUCUUUAUAAGAUAAAAAUUAGUUGAUCUUAUUAAUUAAAUCACAUAUAUAAAUGAUGCAUAUGGAAAUAUAAUAAUUUAGUCGACCCAAUUAAGAAUUUUUAAUGGUUAAUAUUGCCUUAAACUGUCAGUAGAGUAUUCUCUUAUUUUGAUGAGACAUAAGAAUUUUCUUAUAUCUGAAAUCAUCAUAAUAAUUUAUAAGUCAUUUAUUAUAUUUUGAUUCUGAACACUUAUAGUCAUAUAACUGUAAUUGAAGGAUAUUGAGUGUGAUUAAAAACUUGUAGAAUUAAUGAUUGAUCAAGAUAGAAUCUAUCAACUUUGAUAAUAAGUUUAAGCUCUAUGCUGUCAUUUAUUAUAACGAGUAAAUUAAGACCUUGGUCAGGGCAGUUGAAUGAAAGAAAAAAAUAUUUUCUUAUAUCAUUCAUUAAUCAAUUAUAAUUGACAUGUAGCAUAGUCAAUUACCUAUUGAAAUUUGACAGAUAAACCAUAUCCUAUGGUUAAUCCAGAGCAAUAAUGACAGAAUGAAAUAUUACAUCUUUCUUUAGCAGGUUCUUACGAGUAAUUGUACAUUUUAUGUUAUCCGGUCGUUGAAGAGUGUUGCUAAAUGUUAACCUUAAUUAGGAAAUUAGUUUGACCAAUUUGCUAUCGGUUUAGUGUUAAACCUAUGGAGUCGCACACUAAUGAGUGUUUUGACUUUCACUAAAUAGAUUAAUUAUUUGAGAAUUAAAUUAAAAAUUUUAAUUUAAUCAAAUAAAUAAAAUUUUUGGUCUAAAUAUAAUAUUAUUAUAUUCUUUAUUAGUACUAAAAAUAUAAUUAAUAUUAGAGACAAAUUAAUUUUUUUAUUUUUGAAAUAGAAAAUUAAUAUUUAUAUUUUUGAGUUAUUAUAUUAAUAGUGUAAUAAUAUAAUGUGUAGUUAUUAUAAUAAUUGAGAUUAUUAUAAAAUUUAAUUUAAAAUUAAAUUGAUUUAUAAAAUUGUUUUAUUAAAUAAUAAUAAUUAAAUAAAAAACAUAUAUAUAUGUAAAUAAAAAAGAAAUAAAAAAGAGGUAGAUCAAUCCAAAUAGAUUUGGACGUCUAAAGGGAGAGUCCAAUAUACACAGACGAGUUGAGAAAUUAGCCGCACACUAAAACAAAAAAAAUUAGAGAAUUUUUUUGUUAAAAUUUUAUGAGAAAAUUUGAACUCAUAUUGUUCAUCUAUUCUGUUGAUCAAAAAAUUGAAUAAUAAAAGUUAAUUUUGGUAUUAAUACGCAUAAAAUAUUUGUAUUUUUAAAAAAUUUUAAUUUAAAAAUUUACUGUCAAAUAUAUUUUAAAUUUAAUUUUUAAACUGUAAUAUAAAUUUUAAAUAUAAAUAAAUCAGAUUGUNNNNNNNNNNNNNNNNNNNNNNGGAGUUACAAAUAAGUUAAAAUGAACCAGUAAAGUGGUCCUGACGAUGACAUCCAUGCCAUUUUCCAAGUAGUCUUCAAAUCUGGGUGUAGAGUUUUUGUAACUCCAUUUCGCUUCUGGUAAGAACGCGUUACACAUGUAUAUACACCCAUAUAAGUUAUUGGUUUCAGAAAAUGAAAGUAUUUUUUAUUAAAAUAAAAUGAGUUCACGUGGGAUAGUUACCGCUUUUGUGAGAUAAGGAAGAACAAUUUCUCCUUUCUCCUUGAGAAUUUCAUUAACCACACCAUUGAUGGUGUUGUAGAGUAAUGGGAAAAACAACUUCAUGUAAUCAGGAAGGUUUUCAACAUUCUUCACAUCCCAUCUGAAAUCAAAUUAUCACAAGUUCAAAGUUAGGAAACACUCGGUUAAUAUUUGACCAUCUGGAUUCGUUUUACUUUGAGGAUUUUAUUAAAACAUGAUAAUUUCCAGCAUUAAUUUGCUUAUUUAAUUAAUUUUAUACGAAUAUAUAUAUAUGUAUAUAUAUAUAUAUUGUAUUCCAAGGGACCAAAAGAAGCAUUUCAUUAAUCUAACUCUUGCAAAACUCAAUUUAUUUGACAUCUCUAAAUUAGUCCACCAUCUAAACACAAAUAUAUAUAUAUAUAUAUAUAUAUAUAUAUAUUUAGGUACACUUAGGAAUUACAAUAAUUUUCUAAUCAUUGACAAUUCAGUUUAAAUCAUUAAAAUUAGAGUAUCAUAAUUAAUAUAUCUAACUUUGACAUGUCUCCCAAAUAUCUUUGGAAAGAUUAACUGCUUCAUAUUGAAAUCCAGAGAAGCGAGUUGAAGUACUUCUGAUUUUGCAUCAUGUUUUUUACUAUAAGCUUCAAUACUCCAUCGAGCUUCCAGCCUUUUCAUCCUGCGGUUUAAUGGAGUUUCUAUCGCAUGAUUUACUUCUUUGACAAUCAUUUGGUCCAUGUCUUCUUCUUCCCUAACUUUCCUUAUAUGAUUUCUUGUGAAUUCCUUAGCCUUGUCCAAGAUGUUUUCUCCUUUAUAUUCCAAAUAGGAAGCUUAAUAGAGGCUCAAAAUUUCCUUCACAUCCUCGUAUACACUUGACUUGAAACUAUCAUUUUUUUUUUUAAAUGCUAAACACACGUGUAUUUGUACAUCGUAAGUUUAAUUUUAUUUAUUUAUUUUUUUUAAUAUUUUAAUUUGACGAAUUUAUAUAAUAAAAUAUAAUACUUAAUAUUUAUUAAGUACUCUGUUAAAUUAAAAAAAUUAUCAAUAUAAAAAUUAAUAAAUUAUAGUUUAUAAAUUAUGGUUCAUAUAUUUAAAAUUUUGAUAAUUGUAUUAAUCUGUAUAUCUCUAUGUAUAUAUAUUUGUUCUAGAAAAUUUAUAAUGAUAACCACAAAUUUAAAAUUUCAAUCUUUAUAAUGAAAUAUAAUAUUUGAUAAUUAUUUUAUAUAUAUAGUGACGUACCUUGGAAGACUUGAUAGCCAUGUUGUCUAAAGUAAAGAGCAGUUAAAUGUAAAUUCUUGUCCGUUCUUGUAUGAAAUUCUUGAUAAAUCUUAUCUGAGAACUUUUGCUAUAUCCUUCUCGAGACGGUAGCCUAAUCCUAGCCGUUCAAUUUCAUCAAUCAGUUAAAGUCUCUCCCACAGAUCUGCACCUUCAUCGUUGAUCAUCAUGCACCUCACUUGCUCCUCUAACUUCCACGUCUUUCUUUAUAGACUUCAACCUACACUACGUGUUAUAGUAAAUUAACAUAGAAAUUACAUGAAAAAUAAAUUAGAAAAGAAAAAAAAAAAAAAAGAGAGAGAGUAAAUAUUGUAGUUACCGGCUGGUGAGAGGAGGUUAAUGACUGCAAGAGCUUAUGGCUCCACGUGUUGGGUUGGUAAUUAGCAGUUACUGUUGUUUUCAAGUCAACAGCGAAGUGCCGGCGCAGUCAACGAACAGCGAGUCUUACAAACAUGUAGACAUUUUUUAUUUUGUGUAGUGUAAGGAAGGCUGUAAUUGGUCAGUUUAGGAGCCAAGGAGGAAGAGCAUUGGGGCAUUGUACGCAGAACUUUGCUUGCCAUUAAUUCCAAAACACCGUAGUUUUGAUCAUCUGGGAUACUCUCCACGAGCAAAAAAAAGAUGGAAAACUUUUUGAGAAUUGAGAUGGAAGCCUGGAAUGCUCUGCGAUAAUGAUUUUUGAGGAGGUAAUAAGUUUGGUUUGGCCUUCUGGAACUUCCCACGUGUGUUCACCAAAUCCAGAAACAUGGAUGUAAAAAUUGUUAUUUACUUACUGAUAUUUCAAAUAUUACGAUAUUGAAGAUCAAAGCUAUGAUUAUAUUUUAUAUAUCAAGUAACUAAAAUAUAAAAGAUUUGUAUCAAACACAAACAAAUUCCAUUGCUACUUGGAAGAAACUAGGACAAACAGAAACUUUCAAAGAUCAAUAUUCAAGAAUAACAUCAUUCUCUAGUAUUUCAACACAAAGCAUUUGCAAUUCUAUUUGGCUACAAAGCAUCAGAAGAAUAGAUUUCCUAUUGUUGGCAUUAGAAAUAGCAUAGGACAAUCUUAAGAGCUUUCAGCAGCAGACUGGGUCACUCCAGACUUCACAAGCAACUUGUUGAGAGAAUCAGGAGGGCAAACCUGAUACUUCACCUGCCCAGCUGGAGUGAGAAACACCUCGGCCAACUCAAGCUUUUCACCAGUAAGACUCGUGCUGUCCAUGGUCUUGCUAAGGACCUUCAAUGAAAGCUGAACCGCCUCCUCCCUUGUCAUAUCAUCCUUGUAGUCCUGUUUAAGCAUUGAUUGUGCAGCUGCAUUGUUUGCUCCAAUGGCUGCAGCUUUCCAUCCACUGUAGUUUCCACUGGGAUCGGUCAUAUAUAGUUGGAAGCCAUAGUUUUUGUCCCAUCCAGCAAAGAGAAAAGAAACGCCAAAGGGACGCAGACCACCAAACUGAGUAUAUCCUUGCUUGGUGUCACAGAGAGAUUGAACUAGCUGCUCGACGGGCAUUGGCUCUUGGUAGGCAUAAGUGUAGCGUUGGGCUUGGACCCUAGCCGUGUUGAUUAGGAUGUUGGCAUCAGACAUUAUUCCAGCAACAGCACAAGCAACAUGAUCAUCGAUCUUGUACAUCUUCUCGGUGGAUGUUGAGGUUUGCAAGAGUUUGGAUGUAACCUUCUUUUCACCGACCAAAACAACACCAUCUUUUGCUAGUAUUCCAAUAGCAGAACCAGCAUUUCCUAUGGCCUCCAUGGCGUAUUCAACUUGGUAUAGGCGACCUUCUGGGGAGAAGAUUGUUGUACGGCUAUCAUAUCUUCGGGACAUAUUUGAUUACCCUAAUUGAUCAUAAGAGAAAAAGGAACGGAAGUAUGCAUCAGUAGGAAUAGAAAAUAUCAUAAAAGUUUGGAACUAGUGAAAGGAUCCAAGAAAACAUGAGACUGAAGAUUAGAAAGUCUUGACAUUUUCAGGGGAUCAUACAACCUAAGUUAACCUCCAGCUAAUAUGCAUAAUUCGAGCUUCUUUCCUCACUAAAAAAUUUUAAAAGAAAACAUGAAAUUAGCAUGAGAAUUAGGGUUGAAAUCUUCACAAGAAAUGAAUAUUUAUUAUUUAAACAACUUUUUAAGAAAGAUAAGCAACCUUAAGGUCACCUUCUACUUUGAACUCCCAGACCCUUGUUAUGGCCAGGAAAAUGAGAUGUCGCACCACCACAGACCAAACAUUAACACAAGCUCAUGAAAAUUCAAUAGUGUGAUUUUCAAGGUUUUUAACAACGAAAACCCAAGCCCCACUUCAAUGAUAAUGCAAAGGGGCAGCAAAUUCCUUACUCCAACAACUACUCCACCUAGCAAACCAUUUUGACUGCCAAAAGGAAAUUAUAAGCAAGGGAACCAAGGAGGUAGCACCAUGUACAAGAGAGAGAAAACAAGAUUAAAUGAGCCAAAAUGUCCUCGAGGUCCCAAAAUGUUCUUCAUAAACAAUAGAAUGACCUUUAACAAAAUAUACAAGGUUUAGAACAAGAAGUCGCGAUUCUAUGUAACAGGAAUUAAGGAACAAAUAUGCUAAAAUUACAAAAACCAAGUGAAUGAAACACCAAGAAACCAGAGUUCCGAAUCUCUCCAUAGGCCCUUUAGAGCCACAGCUUGGAUCGGUCCAAGGGCAUAGUUGUGAACUAGAAAUGGCCAAAUUUCUCUCAACCAUUAGACGUAGGAGAGAUUUUUUAGUCAACAAAGAAACUAAAGAAAGAAUAGGGAUUCUAGAUGCAAGAGAAAGAGAGAUUAAAAUUAAUCAUUCUAGAUGCAAGAGAAAGAGAGAUUAGAAUUAGUCAUUCUAGAAGCAAGAAGAACAAAGUAGUUCAUAACUUAUUUCACAAUAUUAACCACACUUGCAAUGCGAAUUGUACAGGUGCAAAUACCUGAACCAUCAUUAAAAAAAAGUAGUCAUUUCUAGAUGUAAAAAGAGAAGAAAGUAGUUCAUAACUUAUUCCAUAAUAUUAACCACACUUGCAAAUCGAAUUGUACAGGUGCAGAUACUCGUUCUACCAUUAAAAUUGUUGUAAAAGGCAAUCUCCUAACAUACUACAUUUAGGGAUAUAUGUUUUUCUUGUUCUAUAAUGUCCCUAGACGGUACAAGCCACUAAGCUUACCACAAUCACACUGUUCAAUAAGUUUUUUUUAAAAAAAAAAAUACUCUCCUUAGUAGCUAGAAAGCAAAUUUCAGCCAACUGUGUGUCAUACACAAUAAUAAUGGGCUACGAGUAGAACCUGGUUGGUUUAUUCUUGUUCUAUGGUUUAUUCUUCCAAAGACACAAUCUCAAUGGACAAAUCUCUUCGAAAAAACUGCUGCUGCAUGUGUUCACAAACAAACUGUUUAUCCCUUCAUACUUUUGAUGUAAUGUGAAGCACAUUAAAACUGAUUAUUAGAUAAAAAAAUUUAUUGUUUAAGAAACAAGAACUGCUAACUUCAUUACAAGCCAUCAUCUUCCCCAUGUAAUUCUUCACACUUCUUUCAUAUUAGCAGAAAACCAGAACAACUGCCUCCAAAAUAAUCAAGCCUCCUUCAGUUAACCUCAUAACCAAGCUCUAGAGAGUCUAAAGACUAUACAGAAUAAACAGUAGCAAAGCAGUAACAAGACAAUGUUAUGAGUACUAAUAACUUGUGAGACUUAAAAUAUGAUAAGCAGAACACAGAAAAUCCUCUAACAGGAAAUGAAAUCUUCCUAGAUAACAAUCAAAUUGCCUCCAUUAGCAGAAAACAAGAGUAACUUGCUCCAAAAUAAUCACAGCUCCCUUAGUUAACCCCAUAACCAAGCACUAAAAUCACUGAAAAUUAAACAGAAUAAACAGUAGAGGAGCAGUAACAAGACAAUGCUACGGAUACUAAUAACUUGUGAGACAUAAAAUAUCAUCAGCAGAGUUAAAACACAGAAUAUCUUCUACCAGGAAACAAGAUCCUCCUAGAUGGCAAUCAAAUUGCCUCCACUAAAGGUUUUCAUACAAAUUACGUACGGCCUAAUUUUCAAACUGAGUAAGGAACUUGGACAAAUUGCAUGAAGGAAAUGAAUUCUCAUGAAUUUAGGAACUCCAAGGAAAUGCAUAAAGGUAGUAAAUCCCCAUUGUUGACUCAAGACAAGGUGAGGCUAUCCAAGAAUCAUGCAAUACCACUGGCCCUUUGAGGUAUAUGCCGGAACCCUCUUGAUGGUAUAGGCUAAAUAACAACGCGAGGUACUUGCUAUCUAUGUUCUAAAGACUCAAGAAAGAGAAGACUUGCAAAAGAGUGAUAAACAGUAGAAAAUAGAAAUGUAGAUGUAGUAGAACGCAAUUCUAACAAGCUAGCAAAAGCUAAAGCAACACCCCGUUGCUUAUGUAUGAAAUAGCAAUAUAUUAACGAUGGUGGCUGUAAAAAACAAAAAGGAAUUGAGAGGACCAUAGAACUUGAACCAAGCAUCUCAAGAGCAAAAGGAAAACAAUAGCUAAACAGAAGAUCUAAAGACGAACUAAUAAAUAUAAUGAAACCGAUUUUGGGCUGAAAAUCACCCAAGAGCUAACCAUGCAGUGGUAAUUAAAAAGAAAGAAAAAAAAAAAGAAAACUUGAAACCUAGACACUCAUUUCAAAUACACAAAGCUAUUCUUUUGGUUUCACCAGUUUGGACUCAAGGAGAAAUAGAAUCCCUCAUGAACAAAGUCAAACAGCAAGUAAAAAGAUUGAAAAGAAAGGGAACAACUGCAAUGAAAAUAUAGCAUAUAAAUAGUGAUAAAAUAAGUAAAAUCAGAUGCAAUAACCAAAGUGUUAAGUGCCUUGGACAGAACAUCUGUCUACAAACACAACAAGAUAUGAAAGAUCAAUUGUUUAAAGUAUUGAAACAACAAGCAGUUAAAACAUGAUUAAAAGAAGAACAUGGGUGGCUAUACAAUACAAACAGAAUUUUAGAAUUAAUAAUAACAUGUCUGGGUACAUAAAAAUAUAAUAAAACUGAGAAAAAAAGAUGCAAAUACAUGUUUAUGACCCAAGACAUAUAACUGCAUAAGGAUAUAUUUACAUAUAUAUGUAUGUAUGUGUGAAAACAUGUUUUACACAGUUAUACACCAUUAAAUUCAGAAGCGAAAAGCAAACCAGAGAAGUAAAUAUGCACAAGAUGAAGUUUAAAUCUAACUCAAAAGCAUUGUAUAAAAUAGCAUACAAAAACGUUAUCUGGUACUUAGACCAGAAAGCCGCAAAGAAAGACGUAGCCUACCGUCGGGUGUGUACAUAUACAUAUAUGAGAUGGUACCUACGCUAACAGAAAACCGCAGAAACUUUAGGGGAAAAGAUAGAACCAAAGUAAAGAAAGCAGAUAUAAGGAGCAAAAAAAGAUCCAGCACACAGAGAGGGCAUAUCUGUUCAGGUAAUCAACAUACUCGAUCUACAUUCACGUAAGGGUAUGUACGGAUACAUACAUAUAUAUAUGUAUGUAUGUAUUGAUGUAUAUACGCGCACGCAAAUAUAUGGUCAUAAAACCACAUAAACAAUAGAAUUAAGCUAAAAUAUAGAAAGAUAUUUCAUGUUAUCAGAAUCAGCAUAUAGAAAUGAAAAAAAAAACCCCGAAUCUGCUUUCAUCAUCUAGGAAAUCAAGGACCUGUCAUAGCUGCAUAGCAACAUAGGUAAAAAAAUAAUUUUUUUAAAAAAAAAACAGAGGAUUGUACUUAUAUGCUAUAUUUGCUUAGUCAAAUCAGUUAGAAGGGAGAAAGAUGACAGGGCGUGCUAAUUUUCCCUUGAUGGNNNNNNNNNNNNNNNNNNNNNNNNNNNNNNNNNNNNNNNNNNNNNNNUCCAGAAACUAUUCCACUCCAUUUUCUCACAAAAUAGAAAUCUCAUAAACAAAAAUGCAACAGAAAUUUCAAAAAAGAAAAUCAAAACAACAACAAGAACAACAAUAGCGAUGAUAAAGUCGACGAAACAAGAACGGAUAAAUGCAGGAUCUAACUCACCUGUAAAUUAUUCUCACCAAAGCAGCUAAUGCUCCGUCUAAGAAGCUACAGGGAUUAUAUUUCAGCUGCGAGUGUACUAGACUUGUUCUUCAAGAAAAUUGUUGACGCUUAUAAAUAAUGAUUUUAUUUUCUUUUCACAUUUCCUUUAGAAGUUUAUGAAUCGAAGCUCUCGGCCCAAUCCAAAAAUUGAGAUCUUCCUCAUGGGCUAAUUGUUAAAUAAAUAAAUAAUAAAUUCAGUAGCCAAGCUUAAUUGUUAAAUAAAUAAUAAAUAAUAAUAAAAUCAGUAAAAUUGUGGAAAUAAUAAUAAAAGUUUUUUAAAAUAUAAUAUAUCAAUAAAAUAAAUUAAAUAUUAAUAGUAGCUAAUGGACCAAUCCAAACCCGAUCCAUAAGGCUCGCAAACGAAGUUCGAGCCAGACUGCCCCUAUAUUGGGCCGCGCUAAUUUGCUAAAGCUUGGGUCUGACGGCCCAUUUGUAGAAAGGCCGCUCAUCGCCUGGCCUGUCUAUUUUUUAUAUUUAUUCAAAAAUAUAUAUAUAUAUUGUUUAUAAUAAGAUUCUAGUUUCAAUAUUUUAUAAAUAGUAACUGAAAAUGCAAUAUGCAUGUUGAUAUUGUUUGAAAGUAAAUUCUAAAACUUAGUUUUUUUCUUACGAAUGAGAAAGAAAACCUAGAACUGAAAGAGACGACCCAUGGUCUACAUAUGGUAAGUGGUUGUGCUAAUUCGGAGCAUAGGUAAAAGAAAUGUAUCCCACAGAAAAAUCAUGUGCCCGCAAAGCAAGAUGAUCGGCAUAAGAAUUGUAGUCUCUAUGAAUAUGAAAUAUCUAGAUUUUUCAAUCAAGAGCGAGCAUAACCUUAAAUUGUAUUUCCAGAUCUACGGUGAGGCAUAUGCUGUGCGGGCACAGGGAGAGUCAACUUCAACAAUGAACUUACGAAUGCUACGAUCCCACUAAGUUUGAGGCGAUUAAGUACCCCAUUAACCUCAGCAGUUAAGGGAUGAUUAACGUCAUGAUUAAAAAUUUAAACCAUUUUUUUUUAAGUGUAACAGUUCAGACAUACAAAAUUUAAUUAAUGUGGAUUUCAUAUUUAUUUAAUAUGGUAUAGUACCCAAGAGUACUACAAAUACAUCCAUACAUACAUACAUACACACACACACACACACACACACAUAUAUGCGCACUCCAUACAUUAAUCAAAGGAGGAAAUUCUCAUUUAUAAUGAUCAGAAAGAAAAUGACACAGUUUUUGGUAAUAUCAAACCUUGAAACAUGUUUUUCUGUCUAACUGGGUUUAAAAGAGAAAUAUGAACUCUACAAAGUUACAAAUAAAAAGAUGAUUCACGGAAGCUGAAGCUUCUUUUUCCUGGAAACUUGAUCCAAACACCCUCAAAACAAGCACAAAAGCCAUUUAUUAAGAUACAAAUAUAUAGAUUAAUCUCUUGAGUUCUUCAAGUCGUUCUACCAAAAUGAUGAUCGAUCAAGUCAAGCAGGGCACUUGAAUCCUGGCGGCGGAUACUUCCCGCAGUCAAUGAGAACUUCAAGAGCAAUGGGUAAAAUAAUACUGAUAUUAAGAAGCUUUGCCUUAAUAGUGGUGCAGAGACAAAGGGCAGCAUCCAAAUCCACCAGUCCCUGAAGCACGGGACAGCACGUGUCCUUUGCACUACUGCCGAUCCCAAUAUGCACCAGGCCACCCAAGACAUCAACGCAUGCGCCCAGUUUGAGGGUGUCAAUGGGGCACGUUUCUUGCUUCGGCGGCGGAGGCGGACAUGGUGUCUCCGGGGUGGGAGUAGGCGGUGGAUUGACAAUGGGGGGACUUGGAUGGUAAGGGGGUGGCAAUGGUGGGUUUAUGAUGGGGGGUUUGGGGACAAUGGGAGGUGGCUUUGGCACGUAGGGAGGGUUAACAGGGGGCUUUGGCACGUAGGGUGGGUUAACAGGGGGCUUUGGCACGUAGGGUGGGUUAACAGGGGGCUUUGGCACGUAGGGUGGGUUGACUGGGGGCUUUGGUGGCUUAAUGUGGGGGGGAGGGUGGACGACUGGAGGCUUUGGUGGCUUAGGGUGCGGCGGUGGCUUGACGACAGGGGGCUUUGGUGGUUUAGUGUGCGGCGGUGGCUUGACAAAUGGGGGGUGUUUAGGUGGGAACUUGGGGGGAUGAUGGUGUUUGGGUGGAGUUGGGUAUGGGCAGUAGGGACAAGCAAGUGAAGUGAAGAGAGUUGCUAAGUUCAAGAGAAUUACAAGGUGGUUGACAAAACCAUUCUUCCCCAUUCUCUCAAUGGAUGGAUU